rnacentral:rRNA from 1 species
GACGUAGGGCGCGAGCGUUGUCCGGAUUUAUUGGGCGUAAAGAGCUCGUAGGCGGCUUGUCGCGUCGUUCGUGAAAACCCACAGCUCAACUGUGGGCUUGCGGGCGAUACGGGCAGGCUAGAGUUCGGUAGGGGAGACUGGAAUUCCUGGUGUAGCGGUGAAAUGCGCAGAUAUCAGGAGGAACACCGGUGGCGAAGGCGGGUCUCUGGGCCGAUACUGACGCUGAGGAGCGAAAGCGUGGAGAGCGAACAGG